rnacentral:rRNA from 1 species
UAAGGAAUAUUGCGCAAUGGGCGAAAGCCUGACGCAGCGACGCCGCGUGGGGGAUGAAGGUCUUCGGAUUGUAAACCCCUUUCGGGAGGGAAGAUGGGAUGGGGUAACCCAUUCGGACGGUACCUCCAGAAGCAGCCACGGCUAACUUCGUGCCAGCAGCCGCGGUAAUACGAAGGUGGCAAGCGUUGUUCGGAUUUACUGGGCGUACAGGGAGCGUAGGCGGUUGGAUAAGCCCUCCGUGAAAUCUCCAGGCUUAACCUGGAAAGUGCAGAGGGGACUGUUCAGCUAGAGGAUGGGGGAGGAGCGCGGAAUUCCCGGUGUAGCGGUGAAAUGCGUAGAGAUCGGGAGGAAGGCCGGUGGCGAAGGCGGCGCUCUGGAACAUUUCUGACGCUGAGGCUCGAAAGCGUGGGGAGCAAACAGG